GAGAGCCAAAUGAAUCGAAAGAUUCAUAUUUGGUUCGGGAAGGGAUCAUGGAAUUUUUGAAAUAAAAAAAUGAAUGUAAAGAUAAUCUACUUUCAU
rfam:Corchorus capsularis cultivar CVL-1 contig03223, whole genome shotgun sequence.